ACCAUGUAUCUGGUGGUGCCUAAUGCGGGACCAGUUAUGGUAAAUAUGACCCUAAAACCCAUGCUUAUUUGACUCUAUAUUAAACACUGGUAAGAAAAGCAUGGUUCUGUAGGAUCAGCUAUACUUGAGUUAAUAUCUCAGUCCCAUCACUAAUUAAUAGUAUGUCAUAGGGCAAGCUGCUUAACCUUUGAGAUCUUUAGUUUCCUCAUCUAUAAUAACUGAAUUCAAUUCUUUUCUGAAAAACUCUGAGAAAAGGGUCUGGUAAGAUGUCAGUAGUGUUAUAGGUGUCUGAUAAAUAUG
rnacentral:lncRNA from 1 species